CCCCCAGAUAUGGGGGUUACCAUAUACUGAUAUACCAAACGAGUGAACUUUUCAGUCUAAAACGGUUUCUAUCUUUCUUCCAUUCUGGGAGUCAUCUCCUUCCCAAGUAUCCCUGCUUAAGAAUUCUGCUCACAGGCACGUAUGUUCCCUCUUAUGCAGCCAGCUAGGCCUUGCUGUCUCAUUUGCCUAAUAAAUCAUCACUCUUUCUGCAAGUGCCACCAGAACUAAUGGGAAUGUAGUUCCACUUCUGGGAUGCUUCUUGCAAAGCAUGUAGUAAAAAUGCAAAGCAUAGAUUUUCGUGUGAGAACAUUAUGAUCUGCUUUUUUUGAGACUGCAGGUGAACUGAGGAUAACAAUUUCAAACAAAAGAGACAAGUGUUGGAGACAAAUUUUCCUCUAUCAGUAAAUCUGCUAUAAAUAACUAUUUAUUUAUGCAAAAGUUUAGAUGUUGCCUAUAUCACCAGAAAAAGCAUCUGAAAACGAUCUUUGAACAUAAGGAGCAUUUCAAAACAAUUGAGCAACCAAAAAUCUCUAGCCAUUUAAGCAAUUUAAAACAAUGUAAACUAUUCAAAACUGUAUAGUUAUCUCCAUUCAACCUAAGCCCUUUAUACAGGGGUAACAUAAUGGAGAGGAAAAAAGUUCUAAUGGUCCACUCCCAUUGAUAGCUAAGGAUUUUCUUGUGCUCCUUCCUGCAUAGACAUGAGUAGCAAUGGACUUACUUAAUGGGACAAUCUGGUGUCGGAAUCCAUUGAUACAACGCAAAUCCUGACUCAAAGUGGUGUCUGUUUAUAAACUACAAAAUAGGCUGGGAUCUAGACAAGCAGAAAUAAGUUCUUCCCUUUCUACUUAACAAUCAUUUGAUUAUUUUGGACAUUUUGGCAAAAUUUGAUAGGGCCUUAUCAGGACCACCACACUGAAUCAUUAGAAAAUGAUCACAGGGAGGCAAGGCCAUGGGUGCAAAGUAGAUGUGUUUGAUGAAUGAUGAGUAAAAAAAAUAUUCACAACAGAGAAAGGCCAAUUCCCAAUGCAUCAUAGCUAGACUUCACAAGCCACAAAUAAGAGUACUGAAGAAGCCACAAUGCCUACCAUCCCAACUAGGUGAUGUCUCAAGAAUUUAACUAUAUUCUCCAUUUCAAACACUGGAGUUUCAAAUUUAAAACUCCAGUGUUUUAAAUUUUAAUCGUGUCAGUUGGCCCUGCCCACUGUGAGCAAUUUUCUGUGUUUUAAUGUUCCGAUCUUAUAUUGUUGCUCUGUUUAUUUAUAUUGGUUUUUGUAUCUUGUGUUAUUUUUAUUUUCUUAUUUUCUGUUGUGUUUUUUGUAUUAUAUUGUUUACUGUAUUGCUGGGCUUGGCCUCGUGUAAGCUGCCCUGAGUCCCCUUGGGGAGAUGGUGGCGGGGUAUAAAUAAAGUAUUAUUAUUAUUAUUAUUAUUUCAGUCCAUAUGCUAGAAAAUACUUUAAGGUACUGGAAGGCUGAGAAGGGCAGAGAGAGGAUGAGUGGCCAAGAUGAUCGACCAUUUCUGUGCCUCCUCUUCUCCUCUCUAUAAGCUUUGAUGAUCACUACAAUGAUGAUUACUUGUUUUUCCCCUUGCCUAUUCUUUUCAAACAGCACACAGUUAAAACAAUUUAGAACAUAAUAAAAAGAUAAAAGCACAGUACAAUGCAUUUAGAGCAUCCCUCAGUGACAUGAAUUUAAAACUAAAGCCCUGCCCAAAUAAAAGGGCUUUGCUUUUUUGCAAAGAGGAAGACCCCAGGAACUCCAGUUGUAGAAAAUUCUUUAGCCUGGAAUCAGCAGUUGGAAAGGACCCCUCAUCCUCAGCAGAAGGGCUUGGGUUAGUGGUGGGCCCAAGAGAAAGCCCUUCUUUGGAGAUGUUUAAAUUCAGGCUGGCUCUUAUAGAGAAAUAUAAUCUUUGGGUGGAAGUGGGAUUAAGCUGAGUAGAAAUAUUUAUCAUAAAGGGCAUUUUGAAGGUAGAACGGGCAACCAAUAUGUUGGCUCUCAUCCAUAUUUCUUUUCGAUCGUUAAUUCCUGGUUUUAUUCAUUGCUUUUAAAAUCCCAGUUAUGUACAUCUACAUACUUUUUAGUUUAGAUUUUUAGGUCAUUCUGUGUUUUCAAAUAUCUGUUUGCUUUUAAAGGUUUCCCCAAUGAAUGUUAAAUCAGCAGGUCAUCUCUUAAAUAAAUCCAUGCUAAGCUUCCCCUGUGUUUCACCCUCUUACAUAAGUUUUCUAGUUUGUAUUUUGAACUCCACUAUUUCCUACUCCCUCCAUUUGUUAGUACUGCUCAAGUUCCUAGUUUGGGAGUAUUUCAUCUUCUUAAGAUAUAGCACAUGCAUUUUAUCUACAUGACUUCUAGCAAAAAGAAUUAGGUGAUUGCUAAUUUUUCCAUACCAGCAUUUUAUUUCUGAGCCAGCCUAAUUGUCUUAUAUAAAUGUACUGAAAAGAACUAUGAGAGAAACAAAUUCCCAGUAGAAAUUAAGUGAGUAGCAAAUUCUUUUCUCUCUUUUUCUUUUCUCUUUACUUUUAUACAGCUUUCUGGUAGGAAGCUUAUUUACAGUAUCAAGGUAACUUGCAAAUAAAUUCCUCCGUUCCACGAUGUACAAA